GACAACUGCUGUUUGACAACUGCUUUGACUCAGUGCAGCUGCUCAAAAUGCCAAGGCCUUCAAAUGACCUGGGCUGCUGAAGGUCUCCCAGACUAUGCUUCAUGAGAACCACAGCCAUGUGCACCAGUGAAUUCAGCUGGCAGGAAUGUCACCCUUGCAGGGUGGAUUACACUCCACAUCAUCUCUAGAGACUUGGAGUUACUGCGCAUGUCAGUGUCUGCAUCAGCUUCCCGGACUGUUUCAACAACACAGCUCAGAGCAAUCUCACCAAAGUUGUCACUGACCUCACCACC